GGCGCUGGGCUGGGAGCCCGGGCGCGCAGCCCCCUCCCGCCCCUCCAUCUCCCACUCUGUGCGCGCUCGCUUCCCUCUGCCUGGGCUUGAUGGGAGCCCAACUGGGUCCCGCAGUGACCCCCGUCGCCCCCCGCGCCCCGAGCCGCGCCCUCUGACAGGUGAGCGCGCGCAUCCAGGCGCACCCCACGCCGCGAAGUGCCCGCGGACCCCGUGGGGUUCCCGCCUCUCGGCUCAGCUUUGGGGUUUUGCAGGCCUCCCUGGCCAAGCCCCCUGGGAUCUGCGCCCCCAUCCAAACCUCGGGGCCGACACCCGCCCCGGCCCCCCAACCCCCAGCCCGCGCUGCCUGGGUGAUCUUGGGCAAGGCCUCCGUCCUCUCUGACUUCCGUUUCCCCCUGUGGCUUUGUGCGCUGCUGAGCCAGAUAACAGCCGCUGCCCCUCCUCUCGCGCUCCCAGAACUGGCUGUGCUGGGGGUAUGGCGGGGGCCCCAAGGCAUACUCCACAUCCCCACACCCCGCGGACACUCAUCUAAGGGGAGCGUUGAUCCUGGCUGAUCCUGGGCAAGGAGCUUCAAACCCCCGGUUUUCUCAUCUGCAAGACGGAAAGAACUAAGGUUUGAGGAGGCACCAUGGAGUGUGGCCAUUGGUGGCCUGGGCCCAGGACACCACUUGGUGGCUGCCCCUGAGCCACAGGACCACUUUCCAUUGAACCUACUUCAAAAUGACACCCGAGUCUUCUGGGACUACAGGAGGCCAGGCAUUGGUGUCUCUGGGAUUUAUGGCAAAGAUUCCAGCUCAUCCUGGACAGGGUGACAGAAUGCUGGGAGACUGCCCCACCCCCACCCCCUGUCAGAAGAGCCCUAGCACUCAUAGAGGCUGAGCUGGUCUAGCUGCCACCCCGGCCCGGGACCCGACCACCCUCACCCCCAAAUGCUAAAGAAGUUGCCACAUAGGCAUACACACACAAGAAAGCAGGAAGCACAGCCCAAGCCUCCAGCAGCAACUUGGCCUGGGCCUCCCAGAUCAUUUAGACUCACACCCUGCCCUGCGUGGGCCCCUCCUGCCACCACCUGGAUGCCCUACCCAUCUUCAUGAGGCUUGGGAGCUAGUGCCCCUCACCCCAGGGACCAAAGAUUCCUGUUAGGUAGGAGCUGUGCAGCCCUCGAGCCCGCCCCCACCCCGCUCCUGCCCUCACCCACCCCCAAAUGGAAGACCUCAGAGCGCCCAAAAAGGGAGACAGAUGUGGGGUGGCUGGGGUCUUCCGGCCUGCUCCCAGCCUCCCUCAGACUAGCGCUGGGUCUUCUCUGAGCUCUGCAACCGGGGAGGGCCCCCACCCAGUGAUCUGAGGGAGUGCCUGGGUUCCACCCUUGCUCCCCAAGAAGGAAAGGGACACCAAGCCUCCAUCUGGGAGGGCUGGGGGUGUUUAUCCAGAGAUACUGUGGUCCUGCAGGAGCCCCGAGGAGGGAGAGGACAGUUCCCCAGACCCAGGGCCCCUCAGGCAUGGUCUUCCAUGGGUGUGGGCCCCAGGGCCAGUCUGGCUGCUCACCCAGAGCUGAAAUGUGGGCUCCCCCCUCCCAGGGACACCGCGGGCAGGCUGAUCAGGCACCGGCUUGCCAGCCCCGCCCCCACCCCAGCAGGGCUCCAGGGAGUGUGCUUUGACUGGGGAAGUGGAGGAAGACCAAAGUGGGGUGGCAGAGUGAUGGCCUCUGUGUGUGGCCCGGCGUGGGAAACCACCUGCUGACAGUCAGCUGAACGGCAGAGCAGCCUCCCCCCAGGGCCUCCCGUGGACCAGGGCCCUGCAGGGGAGGACCAGGAACCUCCACAACCUGAGACCCUCGGCCUUCCAGACCCCAAGCUCCCCCUGGGUGCUUCAGUCCACUUUCCAGGGCCAGGAGCCCUGAGCACAGCAGGGAAGGAGUGGGUGCAAUUCUGUGGUGCAGGGGAGGGGCAGAGAAGGCCAGGGACACCCACCCCAAGUCUGACUCCGAUGGCUGGUCCCCCACAGUGGCCCUGGGCUAGCCCCCCAACUGAAGCUCCCCUUUUCUGAAAGGGAGGGGGUGGGUGACCCGGGGAGGUGCAGCCACCCCUGGCGAGGUGGGGGGGAUGCUCUCCCUCAUGACCCAACCUGCUUCUGGCCCUGCCCUUCCCCACGGUCCACCACGCCCCUGCCAGUGCCCCCACCUGCUCCAUCUCCUGGAUUCUCAUUCUUCCAGUUGUUCCAAAUCACAGCUGCAGGUCCCAUCAGGACCUAGAACGUGCUCUGAGGGGCCUCCAGGCCUGCCUGCACCCUCUCCCCGGCUGCUGCAGCUCCUGGGUGGGGACUGUGCCUCACCCUUCCCAAGGAGAGAAGAUGGAUACAGAGCAGGAAUGUCUACUGGGCCCAUCACCCUCUCAGAGUCUGAUCUCCAUUUUCCACCCAGAUGGUGGAUGGGAGCCAGGCUCCGCCGUGCCACUGUCUCUGAAAAUGAUCUUGGAAACCUGGAGAGACUUCAGAGGGUCUCAGGGGCAGCCCCCCGGGAAGGAUGGUGGGACAGGCCUCCUGCUCCUAUGCAGGGCCAGAUCUCGGGCAUCAGGGAACCUUCCAGGGUCUGAUGGGGCCAUGCAGAGGCCCCAUCCUUGAGCCCUGGGCACCCCCACUGGGCUCCAGGCCCCAGCCGGGCCAUUCAUCCUGCCCCUGGACUGCCUGUGCCACCCAGCAUCGGCUGCCAGCACCCCGUGGACGGGUUCGGGGCCAGCACAGGCUGGGUCGGUUGAAGAAAGCCGAGUCAUGGGACGGACAUUCUGGCUGAGCCUGGGCCCCCCUGCCCUGGGGUCCGGCUCCUGACCCCACCGUCCUUAGGGACCUGGAGGCAGGCAGGACUGUCGCAGCCGGUCCUCACUCACACCACAGCUGGGCCACACCUCCCAUGAUUCAGGGUGGAGAGGCCGCCUUUCCGGAAGACUGAGGCCAGCGGUACACAGGCCCCUCCCCAAGAUGUGACAGUUCUCCUACCCUCGGCCACUGAGAACAGCCUGAAGGAUGAAGGACGCUGCAGUCAUCCUCGUUUUACCUAGCCAGUCAUGUUUCUGAAGGCGAUGACUGCAGGUAAGGUUUCCGACAGACUCUGAGGUGGAAAGCAGUGUGCAAAGUCAAAUCAAAGUAGGUCACGUGUUUGCUCUUAGAAAUACACACAUGCCGCGGGAGAGGUACACGCCCCAAGCGGGAUCAGGUAAGGUUACAUUCAAUUUCUCCUUUACACUUUUCUAGAAUUUCUCAGUUUUCCCGCAGGGAAUAUCUAUUAGUUGACUUUUUUUUUUUUUUCAAUUGAGGUGAUAUUCACAUAACAUGCAACGGAUAUGUAAAAUGUACAACUCAGUGGCAUUUAGUUUAUUCAUAAUAUUGUACAAACACCAGCUCUCUCUAGUUUCAAAACUUUUUCAUCACCCCAUUAAAACCCCAUAAAAAUACCACCCUGUACUCAGUAAGUCAUCAUUCCCCAUUUCUUCCUCCCCCAUCCUCUGGGAACUGCUAACCUGCAUUGUGUCUCUGUGAAUUUGCCUGUUCCGGGUACAUCACAUAAAAAGCAUCACAUGGUAUGUGGCCUUUGUGUCUGGCUGCUUUCACACAGCGCAGUGUUUUCAAGGUCCAUCUAUGUUGUUGUCUUUAUAAUUUCAUUCCCUUUUAUGACUGAAUAAUAUCCCACAUUUGGUUGUCCAUUGAUCUGUCAAUGGACAUUUGGGUCAUUUUUACCUCUUAGAGAUUGUGAGUAAUGCCGCUAUGAACAUUCCUAUAAGGUCUCUCUAUGGACAUAGUUUUCAUUUCUCUAGGUCAUAUACCAAGGAGUGGAAUUGCUGGAUCAUGAUAAUUCUAUGUUUAACUAUUUAAGGAACUGCCACACGGUUUUCUGUUUUCCACCUGCACCAUUUUACAUUCCCACCAGCAAUGUAUAAGAGUUCCUGUUUAUCCACAUCCUUGCCAACACUUGUUAGU